rnacentral:pre_miRNA from 1 species
UACAGUCCGUUUUGCAGGUUUGCAUCCCAGCUUGCUGUCCGUCGCUGUGCAAAUCCAUGCAAAACUGACUGUGGU